rnacentral:rRNA from 1 species
GUCUGUAUGCUUGUUAUAUAGAGUCUGGCCUGCCCACUGAUAUAAUUUGAAGGGCCGCGGUAUUCUGACCGUGCGAAGGUAGCAUAAUCAUUAGUCUUUUAAUUGAAGGCUCGUAUGAAUGGUUGGACGAAAAGUGAGCUGUCUUUGUUAUACGACUUGAAUUUAACUUUUAAGUGAAAAGGCUUAAAUACUCUGAGGGGACGAUAAGACCCUAUAAAGCUUUACAACCAAAAAAAUGUACUAUCACUUGUAUAAGUCUAACUUAAUUCAUAUUAAAGUUGUUUCGUUGGGGCGACGAGAAUAUAAAUAAAUAACUGUUCUUUAAUAAAAAUUACAUUAGUGAUUGUAUAAAAAAUGAUCCUUUAAUAAAGAUCAAAAGAUUAAGUUACUUUAGGGAUAACAGCGUAAUCUUCUUUAAGAGUUCAGAUCGACAAGAAGGGUUGCGACCUCGAUGUUGAAUUAAGGUGUCCUUGUGGUGUAGCAGUUAUAAAGGAAGGUCUGUUCGACCUUUAAAUCCUU